rnacentral:rRNA from 1 species
UAGAGUUUGAUCCUGGCUCAGGAUGAACGCUAGCGGCAAGCUUAAUACAUGCAAGUCGAGGGGCAGCAUGAAGUAGCAAUACUUUGAUGGCGACCGGCAAACGGGUGCGGAACACGUACACAACCUUCCUUUUAGUGGGGAAUAGCCCAGAGAAAUUUGGAUUAAUACCCCGUAACAUAACGAUGUGGCAUCACAUUGUUAUUAUAGCUUCGGCGCUAGAUGAUGGGUGUGCGUAUGAUUAGAUAGUUGGCGAGGUAACGGCUCACCAAGUCUACGAUCAUUAGCUGAUGUGAGAGCAUGAUCAGCCACACGGGCACUGAGACACGGGCCCGACUCCUACGGGAGGCAGCAGUAAGGAAUAUUGGUCAAUGGACGCAAGUCUGAACCAGCUAUGCCGCGUGAAGGAUUAAGGUCCUCUGGAUUGUAAACUUCUUUUAUCUGGGACGAAAAAAGGUCUUUCUAGAUCACUUGACGGUACCAGAUGAAUAAGCACCGGCUAACUCCGUGCCAGCAGCCGCGGGAAUAACGAAGGGGGGGAGCGGGAUUCCCGGUUACCCGGGGGUUUAAA